CUACGUGCCAGCAGCCGCGGUAAUACGGAGGAUGCGAGCGUUAUCCGGAAUCAUUGGGUUUAAAGGGUCUGUAGGCGGGCAAAUAAGUCAGAGGUGAAAGCGCUUAGCUCAACUAAGCAACUGCCUUUGAAACUGUUAGUCUUGAAUUAUUGUGAAGUAGUUGGAAUGUGUAGUGUAGCGGUGAAAUGCUUAGAUAUUACACAGAACACCGAUAGCGAAGGCAUAUUACUAACGAUAUAUUGACGCUGAUGGACGAAAGCGUGGGGAGCGAACAGGAUUAGAUACCCUGGUAGUCCACGCUGUAAACGAUGGAUACUAGCUGUUGGAGGUAUCGACCCCUUCAGUAGCGAAGCUAACGCGUUAAGUAUCCCGCCUGUGGAGUACGGCCGCAAGGCUAAAACAUAAAGGAAUUGACGGGGACCCGCACAAGCGGUGGAUUAUGUUCUUUAAUUCGAUGAUAACCGAAGAACCUUACCAGGGCUUGACAUCCAG
rnacentral:rRNA from 1 species